UCUCCAUUUCCUCUCUCCCCUGUGCCUCUGCUCCUGAGCCCCUGACAACAUUUCUACGUUUUGCUACGUUUCAGGUAGUUUGCUUACUUUUGGGAAUUAUCCAGUCUCAUAAAAAUGAAGCAAUAUCAUUAGAAGCUUAAAAAGCAUGGAAAAAAACCCCCAGACACUAACCCUAACCCUGAACGUCCACCUAUCCCCUGCCCUAGCCCUAACCCUAACCCUGACAUUCUGGUCAUCCAUCUUGGGGAUAACAAUCUGGUGAGGUAAAUUCAGUUGAGAUCACUAAAUAUCUCCAUCAGCUGUGCUUCCUCAUCCCUGAGCUUAUCAUAGUUUGGUUUGGAAUGUUGUAGAGGUGCUUAUGGAGUGGGGGCAGCCUUCCUAAGAAGGUGGAUGGGCAAGACACAAAGCUAAUCAUUCUACAACGAUGUUUGUGUUUGAAAAUGUGGGUGCUUAUAUCCCUCAUGGCAGAAUUAUGUUCUGUGCCCAACAGUUGUAUAGACCUGGUGGUAUGCAUCUUUCUGAUUUGGGUUGUGACAUCUUUCUGAUUUGGGUUGGGUUCUUAAGGAUCUGCAAAGAGCUCUGUUUGAGCACUUGUGUGUUUGUGGGUGGAGGUGAACAAGCACACCUGCCCAGACAAUUUGAUUUGGUUACAUUGGUCGAAUCUGACUAGUUUUGCCGAUCCUCAAGUUGUUAUAUUUAAUAAAUACAACCUAUUUAUCCACUUUUGGUUGUCUUGACUCUUCCUCCUGAUGUGCUAGGAACCACUCCGUUUGGGGGGCACUGCAAAACAUGCGGUUUUUACUGCAAACAUUUUGCCAGACUUUGGCCUUGAUUUGGAGUGAAUCAGGCGAUGUUGGGUUUUGGGGUGACCUUAUGACCCCUGUCACUUACUUGGUUUGUCGGGCAAAAUGCUAAAAAAAUUCUACAAUGUCUGGCAAAAUGCUACAAAACUUUUGCCAGACUUUGGCACCAGUUUGGAGUGACAAUGAUGGGUUUUUGAUAUUAAUUAUGAACCCCGGUUUGAUGUAUCAAUUACUCUGUUUAUGGGGUGUUACAAAAUGUGGGGGUUUUGCUGCAAAACUUUUACCAAACAUUAGUUUUGAUGGGAUCCCAGAUUUGGGGGUUUGUAGUUAAAUGAAGCAUUCUUUCAGUGCUUCUCGGGAAAUGUGCAGUUUCCGUCAGAUCAAACUAAUACUACUGGAUAAAAUUAUAUGGUUGUUGAUUAUCAGACAGUUCUCCCAUUUAUCAAGGAAAACGUCUGUUAUGGGUGGCUUUUGCUUGGUGUGUGUGACUGUUGACAGACAGAUUUGAAAAGGAACACAGCUUCCUCUGUUUGUCUCACAGUAACUUACUGGCCUUUUUGAUUAUCCAGUUGGAUUCCGAGGACAGGAAAUGAUUCUGCUAAAGGCUUUCUGUGAAUAUACCGAGCAAUUGCUUUCAGCUUUGCAGAGGAGCCCGUAGUAUCCAAACUACAGUACUUCCGUGAGAGCUGUGAAGCAGAGCUCCCUCCCCUGGCUCUGCUGUGACAGGACAGCUCCCUCAGGCCUCCUCUCCCCACAACUGUUAUCUGGGGCAGCCAUCAGUGGGAGAGCUUUGCUGGAGGUCCAGCUCCUUCAGGCACCUCCAGCCCCUGAACUGUGCCAGCUGGUCAACAUAGGAACAACUGUUUAGUGAUUUGUGACUGAGAUUUGAUAUUCCUCUUCCCUCCCUGCCCCCUUUGCCUGUGGGUAGGGACCAUCUUGCUUUGAUUGCAUUUAAGUUGUCUGGUGGCCUUGUUGGCUGAACAGCGAGGCACAAAUGUUCCAAAUAAAUAAAUCUCUAUACACAGUAUAGAAAAUUAGU